GAUAUCAAAAAGCCGAGACUUCACAGUGAAGUGCAGGGGAUAUUUUUUUGGGGUGAAUUGCGUACGGUUCGCCGUAUACAUAGGGUAACCUCCUGAAUCCGAACCCGACAACUAACCCUGUAGGCUAUCAGGAGAGGAGCU
rfam:Aneurinibacillus migulanus strain DSM 2895 super7, whole genome shotgun sequence.